rnacentral:rRNA from 1 species
AGGACGAACGCUGGCGGCGUGCUUAACACAUGCAAGUCGUGGGGGGGUAGUGGGCAACUGCUACCUCACCGGCGAACGGGUGCGUAACACGUGAGCAACCUACCGAUUUGUGGGGGAUAGCCGGCCCAACGGCCGGGUAAUACCGCAUACGCUCUCGAGAAGGAGUCUUCUUGAGAGGAAACCUCCGGGGCAAAUCGAGGGGCUCGCGGCCUAUCAGCUAGUUGGUGCGGGUAAUGGCCCACCAAGGCUAUGACGGGUAGC